rnacentral:lncRNA from 1 species
GAAGAGGCUGGCGUGCCCGGUGGCUCGGCUAGCUCCCGGGUCCCGGCCCCGCCUGGAGGAUGCGGCUGUGGGGGAAUGGGAGCGGCCGGACCUCCCAGCCUGACAGUGCAUCAAGAGCUUUGCGGAGCCUACAGCCCGGAUGGGACGACUGAGGCCCUCCCGCUGGCGAGCUGGCCGAGGGCUCGUCCCUCUCCAGCUAAAGCGCCAGCUUACGAUACAGCCAAACUGCCGGCUCUCAUCGGCUGUGGGAGCAGGAGGCCCCCAGGGGUAAAUCCCGGAGCCUCGUCUCUGAAGCCUGGCGCUUGUGUCUCAGAAGGCUGGAGUGCAAUAGCACCAUCUCGGCUCACUGCAACCUCUGCCUCCCAGGUUCAAGUGAUUCUCCUGCCUUAGCCUCCUGAGUAGCUAGGAUUACAGAUUUAUAGGAGCAUUGUGACUGGACCAAGGACAAAGAAGUUCCCAACCUCCUCAGACCCUCGCUGCUGCCCAGAUGUCUGCCAUGGGGUGGCCAUCAUCGAAUCCACUGAGGGCGCAAAUAGAACAAAAAGGUGAAGAAAAGGUGAAUUCUCUCCUUUCUUGAGCUGGGACAUCCAACUUCUCAGACAUCAGAGCUCCUGGAGGCCUUCAGACUCCGAGACAUUACACCAUUGGCUCACCUGGUCCUCAGGUCUUUGGACUUGGAAUGAAUUACACCAUUGGCUUUCCAGGUCUUCCAGCUUGCAGAUGGCAGAUUGUGGGACUUUUCAGCCUCCAUAACUUUGUCAUCCAAUUCCCAUAAUAAAUCGCCUCUUAUAUCUGU